CCUACGGGUGGCAGCAGUCGAGAAUUAUUCACAAUGGGGGAAACCCUGAUGGUGCGACGCCGCGUGGGGGAAUGAAGGUCUUCGGAUUGUAAACCCCUGUCAUGUGGGAGCAAAUUAAAAAGAUAGUACCACAAGAGGAAGAGACGGCUAACUCUGUGACAGCAGCCGCGGUAAUACAGAGGUCUCAAGCGUUGUUCGGAAUCACUGGGCGUAAAGCGUGCGUAGGCUGUUUCGUAAGUCGUGUGUGAAAGGCGCGGGCUCAACCCGCGGACGGCACAUGAUACUGCGAGACUAGAGUAAGGGAGGGGGAACCGGAAUUCUCGGUGUAGCAGUGAAAUGCGUAGAUAUCGAGAGGAACACUCGUGGCGAAGGCGGGUUCCUGGACAUUAACUGACGCUGAGGCACGAAGGCCAGGGGAGCGAAAGGGAUUAGAUACCCGAGUAGUC
rnacentral:rRNA from 1 species